GACAGUGAUAGGUUAAUCUUAUCAUAAGAGAAGGAUAACAAAAGUCCUUUUAUAUUGACUGAACGUAAAAAAGUAAUAUCAACUCUUGACUCACCCCUGCUAUGACGUAAACGAUUCUAACUAGUAACAGCAAACAGGAACACCAUAAAUAGAGUACUAACCCCAAUUGCACUAAACGGAAAACUAAACUUGUGUUUAAAAAUUAAAAAUUUUGAACUAAAGAAUUAAAAUUUUCCUUUUCGACGCCAUAGUUUUGAAAUGAAAUUUUUAUUCCGUGUACUUAUAAUCGUCACCUCCGUCUUCCAAUUAAAUCUGGCCAAUUAUCGAUGCUACAAAUGCCUGUGGACCAGUCACUUCAAUAUCGACCAAAAUUGUAUCCCCUCUUACUUCAAUAAUAGUAUUAUUGAAAUCGUUUCGUGUGAUUCCGGAUGCUUAAAUUCAUACGUAUAUCUAAAUGGUACGAUGGUUUCUUACACUCGCGCUUGCGCCCUUCGCCAGGCAGAAGACGGAGUUUGUCAAGAAAAAAUGGACGGCCACAGCAAAUUAGUGAACUGUUUUUGCAAAAAGGACUUUUGUAACGGCUGCGGCCACUGGAAAAGUGGCGCCGGGUGGAACUUGGCCUAUUUAAUAUUUAUUCACAUUUUAUAUAAGGUUAUCCGAACGUCGUUGUAAGUGAGUCACGUUUUAUAACGGUGUGUAUUAAUCCAGCGCUUGUUAUUUCCCAGAGUAUCCCACGUGGCAACGUUUACGCGUUUCUUUCAAUUUGUGCUAAUUUCCAUUUUAGGUUAAAAAUGACAGUAUUCGAACGCGGCUUCAGCGUAAGCCGUAACGUGGAAGCUUUGGCCCCUCGGGCCGAUAACAAAUGUGAUACGGCUCGGGCCCUAAGUCGUAGCCCGUUUAACUAUUCCGUUCGUAAAUGUGACCCCAUUGCCCAUAUAUAAGAAAAACCCAGACUUCAUUAAGGAUACUCCUCGAUAUUUUUCGUCGUAGAACGUAAGUUUUUCAAUUUGGAAUGUUUGCAACGUAGUCGAAAUGUAUUAUUGGUCCAGCGUAUUCGGUAUUUUAUUUUAAACCGUGUUAAAAUCUCGACAAAUACGCCAUUCGCCCUACGGUCCCAAGACUUACUCAUCUUAUUACGCGCCUAGCACCCGGAUACACGAAAAAAAAGUCGUGCUGUAACGUUUAAAAACUUUCCGAAAUUGCUGAUAAAAUUUCAAAUUAUUACAGACAAAAAAUUAAAGUUUUCUAAUUAAAAUAUUCGAUCGGCCGUAGAUUUGCAUUACAGUUAUCCCUCGCUUAACGUUGGAUUUGAUUAAUUGUGGCCAUCCCUUUAUAUACCAACAGAAAUUUUAAUUAACUCGCGGCUUUACCGGCCUUCUUUACUUAACGUAGAAACCGUAUUCGAUUAACGCGAUUUUGAUGCUCGCGAUAGCUCCGAGGGAUUAGUUAACCGCGUUGAUCAAGGGGUAUCUGCAUUUCUUUUUUGUAAAAUAUGCGUUGCGUAAUAAAAUGGUGUGCGUAUUUUAAAAGUC